CCUACGGGUGGCAGCAGUAGGGAAUAUUGCUCAAUGGGGGAAACCCUGAAGCAGCAACGCCGCGUGGAGGAUGAAGGUUUUAGGAUUGUAAACUCCUUUUGUUAGAGAAGAUUAUGACGGUAUCUAACGAAUAAGCACCGGCUAACUCCGUGCCAGCAGCCGCGGUAAUCCGGAGGGUGCAAGCGUUACUCGGAAUCACUGGGCGUAAAGAGUGCGUAGGCGGGGUAAUAAGUCAGAUGGGAAAUCCUGUAGCUUAACUAUAGAACUGCAUUUGAAACUGGUACUCUGGAGUGUGGGAGAGGUAGGUGGAAUGCGUGGUGUAGGGGUGAAAUCCGUAGAGAUCAAGAGGAAUACUCAUUGCGAAGGCAGCAUACCGGCGCUCAACUGACGCUGAGGCACGAAAGCGUGGGGAUCGAACAGGAUUAGAUACCCCAGUAGUC
rnacentral:rRNA from 1 species